AGUGAACGCUGGCGGUAGGCCUAACACAUGCAAGUCGAACGGCAGCACAGUAAGAGCUUGCUCUUACGGGUGGCGAGUGGCGGACGGGUGAGGAAUACAUCGGAAUCUACUUUUUCGUGGGGGAUAACGUAGGGAAACUUACGCUAAUACCGCAUACGACCUACGGGUGAAAGCAGGGGAUCUUCGGACCUUGCGCGAUUGAAUGAGCCGAUGUCGGAUUAGCUAGUUGGCGGGGUAAAGGCCCACCAAGGCGACGAUCCGUAGCUGGUCUGAGAGGAUCAUCAGCCACACUGGAACUGAGACACGGUCCAGACUCAUACGGGAGGCAGCAGUGGGGAAUAUUGGACAAUGGGCGCAAGCCUGAUCCAGCCAUACCGCGUGGGUGAAGAAGGCCUUCGGGUUGUAAAGCCCUUUUGUUGGGAAAGAAAAGCAGCAGGUUAAUACCCCGCUGUUCUGACGGUACCCAAAGAAUAAGCACCGGCUAACUUCGUG
rnacentral:rRNA from 1 species